rnacentral:sRNA from 1 species
GCCGGGUGUGGCAGUGUGCACCUGUAAUCCCAGCUACUUGGGGGGCUGAGGCAGGAGAAUCGCCUGAGGUCAGGAGUUCGAGACCAGCCUGGCCAACAUGGUGAAACCCCGUCUCUA